GAUGAACGCUGGCGGCGUGCUUAACACAUGCAAGUCGAACGAAGCACUCUAUUUGAUUUCUUCGGAAUGAUUAUUUUGUGACUGAGUGGCGGACGGGUGAGUAACGCGUGGGUAACCUGCCUCAUACAGGGGGAUAACAGUUGGAAACGACUGCUAAUACCGCAUAAGCGCACAGGACCGCAUGGUCUGGUGUGAAAAACUCCGGUGGUAUGAGAUGGACCCGCGUCUGAUUAGCUAGUUGGUGGGUAACGGCCUACCAAGGCGACGAUCAGUAGCCGACCUGAGAGGGUGACCGGCCACAUUGGGACUGAGACACGGCCCAAAUCCUACGGGAGCAGCAGUGGGAAUAUUGCACAAUGGGCGAAAGCCUGAUGCAGCGACGCCGCGUGAGCGAAGAAGUAUUUCGGAUGUAAAGUCUAUCAGCAGGGAAGAUAAUGACGGUACCUGACUAAGAAGCACCGGCUAAAUACGUGCCAGCAG
rnacentral:rRNA from 1 species